GCGCCCCUAGCUCAACGGCAGAGCAACGGACUCUUAAUCCGGAGGUUGGGCGGUUCAAGUCCUCCCGGGGCGCA
rnacentral:tRNA from 1 species